GAAGGCUCCGAGGCGCGCCAAGAAGUUCCUUCUGAUUUAAAUGCGACAUGCUGGCUGGCACGGCUGCGCAAUCCUGCGCACUUGGAAGUAGGCAAAAUUUAGUUCCUGAGAUCCUUCUUCUGUUCUCCAUGAUGCCAGCUUCAAGAACCCCUUGCUCUGAAUUUGGAAAGCAGAAAGGAAUGGAAGGAGGAAAGAAUGUCAGAUCAUUUCCAAGAUAAUACUUACAACUGGGUAUGGAAAACCACUACUAGGAUGGAAAACCCUACUCCCACAGCAAGUCCAAAGGGCAAGCCCAGGAAGAAGGCUGAGAGGAAGCUCACCACCCAGACCAUCUGUGGAAAGACAUAAACACAGCAGGUCACUUCCUUGCAUUGAACUGCAGAAGUGGAGGGCUGUGGACACAUGGAUGACCUGCUGGAUGACUCAACCCAGGGAUCCUUAAGGAACUCAAAUGUGAAAAUGUUAAUCUGUCAAAAAUAUGGACUUCAUUGCUAAAACUGUCCUGCACUCUAGAAAACUGGAAAGUUGCAAAUGUAAUGCCAAUUUGGAUACAGAGGCGAUAGAAACCAGCUAGCGUAAAAGAUUGCAGUGGGUAAACUGUCAAAAAUGUUCUAUGACAUAGUUAAUGCAGAAGAACAAGAAUCUGUGUAGCUUCUGUAAAGGGAAGUCCUUUCUCACAAACAUUUUGAACUUGCUCAAGAGGCUUAACAAACAUGUGAAGAAGUGUGAUCCUGUGGACAUUAUCUGCUUGGAUUUCUAAAAAGAUUUCAGCAGUGACCUUUACUAAAGAUUCCUGAGUGAAAUUAGCAGUCAGGAUAUAAAAGGACAGGUAGGUUUAGCCUUCUCCUGGUUUCGCCAGUUUCAGAUCAACAGGAAAUAGAAAGUAGGAGUAAAUGCUCAGUUCUUGCAAUGGAGGGAAGUAAGCAAUAUGGUUACUUGGGGAUUGAUAUUGUGCAAUUUUAUGAACAAAACUGAAU